GGUCAGCCAGCUUGUGCACCUUUUGUGAAAAGGUGCGAUUUUUAAUUGUGAUAUAUUGGUGAAGAAGGCAUUGAAAAUCUGAUGUGAAGCAGCAACAAAGGCAAUGUUCUCUAAUGAUUGCCAGCACAUACAAACCUGGCUGCCUUACCACCAUAUUCAGUUCUUAGUGUGCUUAAGAA